CGGCGUGCCUAAUACAUGCAAGUCGAACGGUCUUUCUAUGGAAGCUUGCUUCCACUGAGAAGAUAGUGGCGAACGGGUGAGUAACACGUGGGUAACCUGCCCAUAAGAGGGGGAGUAACAUCCGGAAACGGGUGCUAAUACCGCAUAGUUUUCUUGAUCGCAUGAUCGGGAAAGGAAAGACGGCCUUUGUGCUGUCGCUUAUGGAUGGACCCGCGGCGUAUUAGUUAGUUGGUGAGGUAAUGGCUCACCAAGACGAUGAUACGUAGCCGACCUGAGAGGGUGAUCGGCCACAUUGGGACUGAGACACGGCCCAAACUCCUACGGGAGGCAGCAGUAGGGAAUCUUCCGCAAUGGACGAAAGUCUGACGGAGCAACGCCGCGUGAGUGAAGAAAAGGUUUUCGGAUCGUAAAACUCUGUUGUCAGAGAAGAACAAGUUGGAGAGUAACUGCUCCAGCCUUGACGGUAUCUGACCAGAAAGCCACGGCUAACUACGUGCCAGCCGCAGC
rnacentral:rRNA from 1 species